rnacentral:rRNA from 1 species
UACGGAGGGUGCAAACGUUGCUCGGAAUCAUUGGGCGUAAAGCGCACGUAGGCGGCUUCUUAAGUCGGUGGUGAAAUCCUGGAGCUCAACUCCAGAACUGCCUUCGAUACUGAGAGUCUCGAGUCCGGGAGAGGUGAGUGGAACUGCGAGUGUAGAGGUGAAAUUCGUAGAUAUUCGCAAGAACACCAGUGGCGAAGGCGGCUCACUGGCCCGGUACUGACGCUGAGGUGCGAAAGCGUGGGGAGCAAACAGG